ensembl:lncRNA
UGGGAGUGUGCUGUGUCACCUUCCUGCCCCAUGGUCACUGUCAUAUUACCUUGUAUUUUGUCUUCAGAAUACUUAUUAUUACUUAUUAUUAAUGUUAUCAAUGAUAGUUUAUUAAAGUGAAAUAAUAUUAUGCAUUCAUUAUGUACUUGUUGUCUUCUACAUUUUCUCUCCUCCCCAGUGAGAAUGUCUGUUCUCAGAGAUCAAGGACUAUGUUGUUCUUUCCUGUUACUUUGUCCAGUGGCCAGUGGCCGGUACAGUGGCCGGUUCAUAGUGACUGUUGGGUAAAUAUUAGUUGGUUCAAUAAUUGUAUGGGUCAGGUAUACCUCUGCAUGUUUGGGGAGUGUGGGUGUACUGGAUAAAAAGAGGGGUCAGGGUACAGUUCUGGACCUUGCAAACCUAGAUUUGGUCUUUGCCUGAAUCUUGAGGCAAUCCCCACUCCUGAUUGCUGCCAUGGCUUCCUGGGAAAGGCACCAUUGGCUGCACAGAGCAGCAGGCAGGGACAGCAAUCAGGAGUCUAGGUGAGGGGUGUAAGGAAUUAAACUUCCACUCACUCACUCCUUGCCUUUACAAAGCUUGGAGACCUCUAUUGGACUUUUUGUCCAUGCUCUGCAUUAACCAUUCUCAAAAUCUUUGAUUAAUUUGGGGUCACUGUGGCAUAUAUGGAGUAGGAGAAUGAAGUCUGUAAGAAAGAAAAGAGCCCCGUGACAUGCUAUAUUGGUUCCUUAGCCUCACAUUUAGCAUGGUUGGCACCAGCCCCCAGGCCAUUGUCCCAGGCAGGUGGCCUUCCUAGCUUCCACAUCGUUUUAACUGGACUGACUAGCCAGCAUCCGGCAACCUCUCAAGCGCUGCGAUCCUGUUAUAACACAAAUGCAACAUGAGCUUCUGGCUUGUCAUUCUUCUUCACUCAGAUGAGAGAGGUCCCUACAAAUAACUGAGCAAACUGCUGGAUACAUGCAGGGGCCUAGGAGAGGAACUAAAGACAAGCGUCCUUUCCAUGCAUCCUGCUGGUAGCCCAGCAAGUGGCAGGAGAACACUGUACUUCCAGAGUUUACCUAUAGGUGGGGUCAGUGAGGUAGUGGGUGGUAUUUGGGCUCUUUUGAUUACAAACUGUCAGGAUACCCUCAUGUUGUUUGGUCUUCCCCAGAAUGCAUUCACUGUAUUCAUGUUGAAGAAGGAGUACUGAGAGGGAGGAUGAGGAGGGAGAGGGCAGGGGGGAGAGGGGAGAGGUUGAAUGAUGGGCAUUUCAAGUCCUGGCCCCAACAACACUGGCCAGCUGUGUGAACUUGGUCAAUCCUCUUCCCCUCCCCAAGCCACCAUUUCCUCAUCUGAUGAGUGACAAAAAUAAGACCUGUCCCUGAGGUAUGUAUUCAAGGAUUGAUUCCUAGGUAUUGGAUGCACUUAUCCCAAUGGGGUCCUGGUCAAGGCUAGAGGAGAAGUGUUGGAAGAGUCAGAUUGUGGCAACAUGUCCCACACUUGUGGAUAGAACCAACAGAACAAUUUCAGGUAUUGUUACUAUCAGGAGUUAGAGUACCACCAGCACAGCAGGCUCUUCCUCCCAACACUGGUCUGGCAGUGUGAUAGCCUUGUUCAUAUGGUCACAAUCUUUGUGUAUAUCUAGGCAUAUGUAUCUGUGGAUGUCAAGCCAUUACAGGGUCACCCACUGACAACGGCAUGAGGACUUUCGGCUUUUUGAGCCCUCAUUAACUAGAGCCUUUGAUUCUGUGUAUGUGACAUGUAUUAUUACCCAGGGUUGGGCAAGGACAUGGUAUCGGUUUUGUUGUUGUUGAUGAUGAUAUAAUCUCCAUUAUUAAAAAGCAGAGUGAAUUACCUUAGGUUUGAUUGUCACAGUAGCUUCUCUACACAGGCAACCCUCCAUCUGAGCUGCCACUGGGAGAUACAUCCCAAGAUCUGCUUUGAGGAAAUGGUGAUAGAGGCCUGGGUUUGAGCUGAGUUCUGUCACUUGCUGUUCUUGAUGAGGAAGAGGAGCUGCGGGGAGUGGAGGUGACUUAUUCAAGGACCCUGCGGCUAAUAGGUGGUGGGGAGGAGGGUGAUGUUUGUGGCACUGCCCUGGAGCUCUCAGCCGCUUUUUAAAUGUGCGGAGGAUCUGACAUUGAAUUUGAAGAGUGAAGACUGUCUGCCAGUGGCCCCCGAGCAGCUGCAGGGAUAAAUCUAAAGAAGUCUGCCCAGUACACCCACCUCAGCACCUUUUCUUGUGUUUAUUGUUCAUUUGUCAUCUUCCUUCGUAAUGUGCUUGCUAAAUCAUCUUGCUACUUUUUCUAUCAUGUUGUUGGCUUUUUUCCUAUUAAGCUGUAGAAGUCUUUACCUAUUUUUGAAUAUUAGUGCCUUAUUCUUUUAUUUACUAUACACGUAUGCUUCCAGAUUAUGAAUUCAAUGUGAAUACCAUUAAUAUUUAUUUACGGGUCUUUUUAUUAUGAGGUUAAAUUUGUACACAAUUAAAUGCAAAGAUUAGAAGUGUUUGAUUUGACAAAUUUGGGGAAACAUGCACACCUAUGUAACCAAAUCUAUACCAAGAAUUAGAAUCUUCCCAUCAUCCUGGAGAGCUCCCUCAUGCUGCUUCCCAGUUAGUCUCUACUGCUACAUUCCAUAGGCAGUUAGUGUCCUGAUUUUCCCACCAUACACUGAUGGCCCUGUUCUAGACUUUCAUAUAAACAGUCAAAUGUUUUAUGAGUCUUCUUUCAUUCAGCAUGUUUUCAAAAUUCACCCAGGUUGUUUCAUGUAUCAAUGAUUUUCUUUUUUAAUUUCAGAGAUAUGUUCCACUGUACAAAUUUACCCCAAUUUAUCUAUACUCUUAUUGAUGGACACAUGGGCUGUUAGCAGGUUUUGACAUGUGAAUAAAGCUGCUGUGAAUAUUCUUCCAUAAAAAUAUUUGUGGAUAUUUAUUUUCAUUUCUCUUUGAUAAAUACCUAGAAAUAGAAGUGUUUGGCCAAACAACAGGUGCAUGUUUAUAGGUUUAUAAGAAACUGUUGAGUUAGAAAUUUUCCCAAAGUGGUUGUACCAUUUCACAUUCCCAUCAAUAGUAUUUCCAAAUGCCCCAUGUCCUUGCCAACAUUUAGUGCUUUUAUUUCUUCUCAUUUGAGCUGUUCAAGUGGAUAUAAUGAUAUCUUGUUGUGGUUUGAUUUGCAUUUCCCUUAUGUUUAAUGAUAUUGAACAUCUUUUCAC